rnacentral:rRNA from 1 species
GCAUAUCAAUAAGCGGAGGAAAAGAAAUCCAACAGGGAUUGCCCCAGUAACGGCGAAGUGAAGCGGCAAGAAGCUCAAAUUUGAAAUCUGGCCUCCCCCGGGGGCCCGAGUUGUAAUUUGCAGAGGAUGCUUCGGGUGCGGCCGCCGUCUAAGUUCCUUGGAACAGGACGUCAGAGAGGGUGAGAAUCCCGUCUUGGGCGGGCGGUCCGCGCCCGUGUGAAGCUCCUUCGACGAGUCGAGUUGUUUGGGAAUGCAGCUCUAAGCGGGUGGUAAAUUUCAUCUAAAGCUAAAUAUUGGCCGGAGACCGAUAGCGCACAAGUAGAGUGAUCGAAAGGUUAAAAGCACCUUGAAAAGGGAGUUAAACAGCACGUGAAAUUGUUGAAAGGGAAGCGCUUGCGGCCAGACUCGGGGGCGGGGUUCAGCGGGUGCUCGUCGCCCGUGUAUUCCUCGUCUCCCGGGCCAGCAUCAGUUUCGACGGCCGGUCAAAGGCCCCCGGAAUGUGUCGUCUCUCGGGACGUCUUAUAGCCGGGGGUGCAAUGCGGCCCGUCGGGACUGAGGAACGCGCUCCGGCUCGGAUGCUGGCGUAAUGGCCGUAAGCGGCCCGUCUUGAAACACGGACCAAGGAGUCUAACAUCCACGCGAGUGUUCGGGUGUCAAACCCGUGCGCGCAGUGAAAGCGAACGGAGGUGGGAGCCUUAGGGCGCACCAUCGACCGAUCCUGAAGUCUUCGGAUGGAUUUGAGUAGGAGCGUGGCCGUUGGGACCCGAAAGAUGGUGAACUAUGCCUGAAUAGGGUGAAGCCAGAGGAAACUCUGGUGGAGGCUCGCAGCGGUUCUGACGUGCAAAUCGAUCGUCAAAUUUGGGCAUAGGGGCGAAAGACUAAUCGAACCAUCUAGUAGCUGGUUCCUGCCGAA